rnacentral:rRNA from 1 species
CAAUAGCGUAUAUUAAAGUUGUUGCAGUUAAAAAGCUCGUAGUUGGAUUUCUGGUGGGAGCGAUCGGUCUGGCGCUUAGCGCGAGUACUUGCAUCGUCUCCGGCCAUCCUUGGGGAGAGUCUGUCUGGCAUUAAGUUGUCGGGCAGAGGAUCCUCAUCGUUUACUGUGAAAAAAUUAGAGUGUUCAAAGCAGGCUUAUGCCGUUGAAUAUAUUAGCAUGGAAUAAUAAGAUAGGACUUUGGUACUAUUUUGUUGGUUUGCGCACCAAAGUAAUGAUUAAUAGGGACAGUUGGGGGUAUUCGUAUUCCGUUGUCAGAGGUGAAAUUCUUGGAUUUACGGAAGACGAACUACUGCGAAAGCAUUUACCAAGGAUGUCUUCAUUAA